CACACACACACACACACACACAUACACCUACACAUGACCGAUUGCCUCGCCUCUAGCAUUGGGAAUCAGUCACCGUGCUGUCCUUGUGGAGUCUUGUGGCCCAACAAGAGGAAGCUCUCCCCUGACAUUGCCCCUCCAAAGUGCGCCACUUCCAGUGCGCCCCACUGUCAUGCCCGGCCUGUGGACAGCCAGACCCUGCCAUCCCUCCCACCCCCGACCAAGCAUGGGGGUGCUCUGUAGGUAGCUGUGUGGCCUGACAGUCUCUACCAGUCCUGCUGUCCCUCAGCUGAGAAUCAAACCCAUUUCUGGAUGACAGGGAAUGUGUCUUCUGCUGGCUGUGUUCUCUGUGGAGCUCAGGGGAGGGAAAAGGCCAAGCUAUUUCUAGGGUGCUGUCAGGACCGAUGAAAAGGUCACACCCUUUCCAAGAGACACUUUUCCUGGAAAGCCCCUGGAGCUUAGCUGGCUCUUAUCCUGUGAUAAGCCAGAGGCUCUGGGGGGUGAGGGAGCAGAAACCCUCCUCACCCCAGCCAACGGGGACCUGUAUACCUCUGCCAGUCUCUCACUUGGCCUUGCUGCUGUCCUCUGAGACUGCCUGUUCCUCCCUCUCUGUGACUCUACACCACCAUCACCUCCUCCAGGAAGUCCUCUGGAUUGACUCCUAGCUUAUUACAUCUUUAUUGUGCAGACCCUCUCCAUUCAAAGCCCCUCUUCAACUGCCCCCCCCCACUACCUCCAAGACAGAGAUUCUGGGUUCUUGCAACUGCAGCCCCUCAGAGAGUGUAAGAGGGGCAGAAAAAGGAGAUCAGGAGGUGAGGGAAGCAGCGCUGUCAGAGUUUCCAAAGCCCCGGCCAGCAAGGCCUCAGAGGCCUCUGUUGGAGUGGGGGCCUCCCUGGCUAUGCGCUCCAGCUGCACAAGGCAGCCUCUGUGAGCCUCUCCCACUCAGCCCUACAGGAAGCAGCAGGGCCCAGCCUCAAUGGACCCAUUCAGACCCCAGCGCUCCGGAAAGUACCUCUGCUUCCUGCCACCAUUCCACUCUGGCCAAACAGGCUCUACUCUCUUCUGAUGGGAGGAGGCCGCAGGCAGGUGGUUCAGUGGUUAGGGCCAACCAUCUACUUCAGUUCCUGUCUGGCCCAGAUCUCUGACCUUGACCAUGCCCUAGUGGGUGUAUGUAUACCUUUAGUGCAAGGGUGGUGUGACAGUUAAUACUGAGUGUCAACUUGAUUGGGUUGAAGGCUGCAAAGUAUUGACCUACUGGAAGUGUCUGUGAGGGCAUUGUAAAAGGAGAUAAACAUUUGAGUCAGUGGGCUGGGGAAGGCAGACCCACCUUUAAUACUGGUGGGUACCAUCUUUCUAAUCAGCUGCUAGCGAAUAUAAAGCAGGCAGAAAAACAUGAAAAGGUAAGAUUGGCCUAGCUUCCCAGCCUACAUCUUUCUCCCAUGCUGGACACUUCCUGCCCUCUAACAUCGGACUCCAGGUUCUUCAGUUUUGAGACUCGGAUUGGCUCUCCUUGCUCCUCAAACUUGCAGACAGCCUAUUGUGGGACCUUGUGAUUGUGUAAGUUAAUACUUCAUAAACUCCCCUUUAUAUAUCUAUCUAUAUCUAUAUCUAUUAUCUAUAUCUAUAUCUAUAUCUAUUAUCUAUAUCUAUAUCUAUAUCUAUAUCUAUAUCUGUCUAUAUCUCCUAUUAGUUCUGUCCCUCUAGGGAACCCUGAUUAACACAGGUGGGUAGGCACAGGGAAAUGUGCCCCCUUCCCCGUGGGUGCUGGGUAGGUAAAUGUUUCGCAAAGGGCUUUCUUGGGGAGAGGGAACCCUGAUUUUCAGUAUUUGCCUCUUUUCCUGGUAUAAAUAUUCCCACUGUGGGCAGUAUCACCUGCCUCUCAAAAUUCCUGAAAAUUCAACAGUUGGCUCCUGGCAGCUGCUGUGAGCCGUUCCAGCCGGUGACUGUGGUGGCUCCAUCCUGCAGGGCCAUGUGCCCCCACCCCUUGUGCUAUGGCCUCCCUCACUUUAGUGUGCUGUGUUUUGCUCUUAGGAAUCAAUGUCUUUGCAGAUAAGGCACCCCAGUAGCUGGCCACCACCUGCAGUUCCCUGGUCUGUCUCUUGCUGGCACCAAGCUGUGCUGUGCCUGCUGAGACUGCUGGGCCACCCCCGUGCAUAUGGUCUGCGGGGCUUACUUGAUUCCCUUAGCUUCCCAGCCAAGGUGCUGGUGUUGCCAGCAGUGCUGGCAGGAGGAGGGGAUAACUAGAGGGGAUUUAACUCAACCCGAGGGGCUCUUACGGGAUCUUUCCUGGAUAUCCCUCCAGGUGGGACUGGCUGCCCUGAGGGUAUACAAACCUCCAACUCCUCCAAUGGCUGAAGCUACUUCCUCGAGCAGAUGGCAGCUGGCUCAGGCUGGCUAGGGACCAGUGCAUGUGAGGUCGGUGCUGGAUCACCCCAUCAAGGCCAUCAGCCUGUGCUUGUUCUUGGGGUUUGAGGGAAACCCAACAGGGAUGAAUCACAGUUUUUAACCUGUGUUUGUCUGCCCCCCAGCCCUGGACAUCUGCAGGCAAAGUUAAAGUUAUAUUUGGCUCUUAUCACCGCAAAAGGCAUAAACCAGAAAUUAUGGCAUCGGGUUGGAAGUCAGGGAGGCUAAUUUGGGGAAACUGCCUGGAGGAAGCAGCAACUCAAAAGAGGAGGAGUCCCACUGUGGGACAGAACAGGCCCUGCAUAAGAACCACUAAUCCCAGGCAAGCCCAGACAUGGCCUUCUGCCUGGGGAGGCCCUCUUUGGCCUGCUCAGCAGACCCUCAGCCCCUUCUAGGCCCUGUCUUCAGCCUCAGACUGAGUGGUGGCCUGGGGAGGUUGGGAGCUGAGCUGUUCUCAUCCCUGGUUCCUUGGCCACGGUGGAAACAAUGGGGCCGGAUCUGACUGCUCAGCGGGGACUGUGAAUAGCUCUCUAGCAGGAAGCAACAGCAGGGGUAGUGGAGGAAGUGUGGGCCCACUUUGGUUUGACACUGCAUAUGGUCCCCAUCUGGCCUGAGAGCCUUUACUCCUUGGCAAACUCAGGCCAAUAAGCUCCUGCCCCCACCCUCAAUGGCAGCUGGAAGAAUGGCCUGAGGGAGAAGCAGGGAUAGGUGGGCUGCAGUGACAUCACCCCCAGAUCCCAGCCGUGGCCCCAGCCAACCCAUGGAGGUGGGGCAUGGCACGGCAGGUGCUGCACAGGAGCCCAAGCACAAGAGCACUUAGGAGAAGGAAUCUGAGCAGGGAUCGAUCUGGCCUGGUGGUGAUUCUCCAGAAACUCCAUUCCUCAGGGCUGUGACCACCAAGCCAGGUGAUCAGGCCAGUGAUGUUUCCCUUUGGGCCAGGUCGGGGAGCCAGACCUGGGAGGGAGACUCCUCUGGGGCCCAGGGGAGGUGAGUCAGAGCUGGCAGAGGCCUCUGGCUCCAGGAACCUCCAAGGAGGAGACCUGAGUUGCUGGGAAUUUCUGGGUCUGACCUCCUGCCAAGUCAAGGUCUGGGCUGGACACAAGGUGAGGCUGUGCCUUCUGGUGCCAGGACCAAGGAAAUGCUGGGAUCUGGGCAGUGCUCAGAGGCAGCACCGUAUGGCAGAACCAUGAGGGUGCACCAGCACGGACCCCUUUCUGCAACCCACCCAUCCCUCCCUGCAGCACCUCGCCUCCUCCAGGCAAGAAUCUGAGCCUUGACCACAGCUCCCUCUCUCACACAGCUUCCUUCUUUGGUUAGAACCACCCGGAGGUGACUGUGGCCAUGGCUCUGACUGACAUAGACCUGCAGCUGCAGUUCUCCAUGUCCCAACCCGAAGCCCUCCUUCUCCUGGCAGCAGGCCCAGCUGACCACCUCCUGCUGCAGCUCUACUCUGGACACCUGCAGGUCAGGCUUGUCCUGGGCCAGGAGGAGCUGAGGCUGCAGACCCCAGCAGAAAUUCUACUGAGUGACUCCGUCCCCCACACCACAGUUCUGACUGUCUCAGAGGACUGGCCCACAUUGUCAGUCAAUGGGUUUCUGAAUGCCUCCUCUGUAGUCCUGGGAGCCCCCCUAGAAGUCCCCUAUGGGCUCUUUGUUGGGAGCACUGGGAGACUUGGCCUGCCCUACCUGAGGGGAACCAGCCAUCCCCUGAGGGGUUGCCUCCAUGCAGCCGCUCUCAAUGGCCGCAGACUCCUCCAGCCUCUGACCCCCAAUAAGCAUGAGGGCUGUGCUGAAGAGUUUUCUGCCAAUGACGAUGUGGCCCUGGGCUUCUCUGGGUCCCACUCUCUGGCUGCCUUGCCUGCCUGGGGCACUCAGGAUGAAGGAACCCUGGAGUUUACACUCACCACACAGAGCUGGCAGGCACCCUUGGCCUUCCAGGCAGCAGGCUGGCAUGGGGACUUCAUCCAUGUGGACAUAUUUGAGGGCCACCUGUGGUCCAUGGUUGAGAAGGGCCAGGGUACUGUAUUGCUCCUCAACAGUGUGCCUGUGACUGACGCACAGCCCCACAAGGUCAGCAUCCACAUCAACAUUCACCAGCUAGAAAUCUCCAUGGACCAGUACCCCACACGAACUGAGGAGUCCUCAGCUACCUGGAGCCACGUGACAGUCUCCUUCUUGGGGAGCUGGUUGCAGAGGCCUCUCAUCACCUCCAGGAACACCGCUCAGGCCUGACACCAGGGGCUGCCAAUGCCUCCCUGCUGGGCUGGCUGCAUGGAAGACCUCAGUGUCAAUGGCUAGAGGCAGGGGCUGUGGGAAGCCUUGCUGACGCACAACAUGGUGGCUGGCUGCAGACUGGAGGAGGUAGACAAUGCCUAUGGCCAUUAUGAAGCUUUCUCCACCCUGGCUCCCAAGGCUUGGCUGUCUGUGGAGCUAGCUGAGCCAUGCGUGCCUGAGCCAGGGCUACCUCCUGUCUUUGCCAAUUUCAUCCAGCUGCUAUCAGCGCAGUGGUGGUGACCGAGGGUGGCACAGCCUGGCUUGAGUGGUGGCAUGUGCAGCCCAUGCUGGCACUGAUGGAGGCUGAACUGCGUAAAUCCCAGGUGCUGUUCAGUGUGACCUGAGGGGCACACUACAGCGAGCUCGAGCUGGAUGUCCUGGGUGCCCAGGCAUGAAAAAUGUUCACCCUCCUGGACGUGGUGAACUGCAAGGCCCGCUUCAUCCACGAUGGCCCUGAGGACACCUCUGACCAGCUGGUGCUGGAGGUGUCAGUGAUGGCUUGGUUGCCCAUGCCCUCAUGCCUGCGGAGGGGCCAAACAGACCUCCUGCCCAUCCAGGUCAACCCUGUCAAUGACCCACCCCACAUCAUCUUCCCACAUGGCAGCCUUAUGGUGAUCCUGGAACACACACAGAAGCCUCUGGGGCCUGAGGUUCUCCAGGCCUAUGACCUGGACUCUGCCUGUGAGGGCCUCGCCUUCCAGCUCCUUGGCACCCCCUCUGGCCUCCCCGUGGAUCACCGAGACCAGCCUGGGGAGCCGGUGACUGAGUUCUCCUGCUGGGAGUUGGAGGCCGGCAGCCUAGUCUAUGUCCACUGUGGUGGCCCUACACAGGACUUGACAUUCCGGGUCAGCAAUGGACUGCAGGCCAGCCCCCCGGCCAUGCUGAAGGUGGUGGCUGUCCAGCUGGCCAUACAAAUCCACCGCAGCACAGGGCUGCAUCUGGCCCAGGGCUCUGCCAUGCCCAUCUUGCCUACCAACCUGUUGGUGGAGACCAGCGCCGUGGGGCAGGAUGUGACCGUGCUGUUCCAUGUCACCGGAGGCCUGCCGUUCAGGGAGCUGCAGAAGCAGGGGGCUGGUGGGGUGGAGGAUGCUGAGUGGUGGGUCACACAGGCGUUCCACCAGCAGGAUGUGGAGCAGGGCCACGUGAGGUACCGCAGCACUGACCCACAGCACUACACCGAGGACACCGUGGAGAACCUGGAUCUGCAGGUGCAGGUGAGCUGGGAAAUCCUGAGCAAUCUGUCCUUCCUAGUGACCAUCCAGAGAGCCACUGUGUGGAUGCUGCAGCUGGAGCCACUGCACACUCAGAACACCCAGCAGGAGGCCCUCACCACAGCCCACCUGGAGGCCACCCUGGAGGAGGCAGGCCCAAGCCCCCCAACCUUCCACUGUGAGGUGGUUCAGGCUCCCAGGAAAGGCAACUUUCAACUACAGGGCACGAUGCUGUCAGACGGUCAGGGCUUCACCCAGGAUGACGUACAGGCUGCAGAGGUGACCUAUGGGGCCAUGGCACGUGCCUCAGUGGCAGUGGAGGACACCUUCUGUUUCCAUGUCACAGCUCCACCAUAUUUCUCCCCACUCUGUACCUUCUCCAUCCAUAUUGGCGGUGACCCAGACAUGCCUGUCCUCACCAAUGUCCUCGUGGUGCCCGAGGGUGGUGGGUGUGUCCUCUCUGCUGACCAGCUCUUCGUCAAGAGCCUCAACAGUGCCAGGUACCUCUAUGAGGUCAUGUAGCAGCCCUGCCAUGGGAGGUUCUUAGCGUGGGACACAGGACAAGAUCACUAUGGUGACAUCCUUCACCAAUGGAGACCUGUUGCGUGGCCAGCUGGUCUAGCAGCAUGAUGACUCCGAGAUCACGGAAGAUGAUAUGCCAUUUGCUGCUGCCGCCAGGACCAGAGCAGUGGUGACGUGGCCUGGGAGGAGGUACGGGGCCAUCCAGCCUGUGAAUGACCACGCCCCUGUGCAGAGCAUCAGCUGCGUCUUCCAUGUGGCCUGGGGUAGGUGGCAGCUGCUGACUACAGACAACAUGGCCUUCAGCAAUGCUGAUUCGGGCUUUGUGGAUGCCCAGCUGGUGCUGACCCACAAGGACCUCCUCUCUGGCAGUAUCAUGGCCACGGAUGAGCCCAUGCAGCCCAUCUGCUGCUUCAUCCAGGAGGGGCCUCAGGAAGAGGCGAGUCCUGUUCACGCACUCAGGCUGACUACAGCUGGAUCCUGCUGCAGGUGUCCGACAGGCAGCACCAGGCCAUCAUGGUGCUGGAGGUGCAGGCCUUGGAGCCUUACCUCUGUGUGGCCAACGGCUCCAGCCUCAUGGUCCCUCAAGGAGACCAGGGUACCAUCAACAUGGCCGAGCUCCACCUUGGCACCAACCUCGACAUCCGCAGCGGGGAUGAGGUCCACUACCACGUCACAGACAGCCCUCGCUGGGGACAGUUGCUGCAGGCCACUCAGCCAGCACUGCCUUCUCCCAGCAGGACCUGCUGGUUGGGGCCAUUCUCUUUGGCCACAAUGGCAGCCUCAGCUCCCGCAACACCCUGGCCUUCUCAAUGGAUGUGGGGCCUUCUCAAUGGAUGUGGGGCCAGUGCACACAGAUGCCACCCUACAAGUGACCAUUGCCCUAGAGGGCCCACUAGCCCCACUGAAGCUGGCCUGGCACAAGAAGAUCUACAUCUUCCAGGGAGAGGCAGCUGAGAUCAGAAGAGACCAGCUGGAGACCACGGAGUUCAUCAUCUCGGAGCCACUGGCCAAUAUGUACUCGCGUGGGAACCAGAACACACUGAUGGAGGAGUGGGCAGAGUAGGCACAGUGGCACGACGAGAUGCUGCGCAUGCACCACGUGCUGAAGGAGGCGCUCAGCAUCAUCAGUGACACCACCAGGACCACCGUCAGCAUGCCCAUGCCCCUGCCCGCGGACGACACCUGGGUGCAGGUGCAGAGCAUCUCUGAGGAACAAAGGUGCCAGGGCCUGCCCCCCACAGCCCCAAAGUACCCCCCGCCCGGGCCGCACAGAGGGAUGCCCCUGCAUCGGGGUGGCUCCCACCUGGAGUGAGGGGUGGAGCUUGCCAAGGAGCACUGGCUGCGGGGCGGGGUGGAGCUGGGAUGUUCUCACCACUGGGGUCUGGGCUUAAGCUUGGGCGACUGCCUCGGGGCACGGCAGGGAGGAGCUUCCGUGCAUGGGUGUGGCCGGGGCGGGGCCUCAGGGGGGCAGAGCCACCCAUCUCUCCCCUCCCUAUGCCUUGCAGGUCGCCCAAGUCCAGCCCCAGGAUGCCCAGACCCCACCAUGUCCCUAGCCCGGCCUGGGUGGCGGGGCCCAGCUCUUGGGCUUCCUCUUGCCAGGUCCGCCCUUGGGGAAGCGUGCCCCGUACCCUCCAGGCUAGAGGCUUCCCCUGAUCCCUUCAGCCCCUACCCCGCCAAGUGCGCUCAUGCCCCACGCGGGGUCUCCAAGUGAGUAGGGGCUGAAUGCAGCCAAAGAGGCUGCUGGACGGGCGUGGCCGGGAAGGAAAUGGGACUGGAGUCCAGAGCAUCAGACCUGGCCGCCUCCAUCCAAGGCAUUGGGACCAUGGGUGCCGGAGCCACGUGUGGCUGAGGGCUGGCGGAGCCUGCUCCCCAGGGAGCACUGAUUCCUGGAGGUGGUCGUUUUUGAGGGGGCUGUGGGGCUUGUCUUACCUGCCCCCUUCUGUCCAGCACUUGCAUGGCACUUCCCUCUAUUUUCACUCUUGGCGGCUGCCCACACGUUGCAUUUCUCUUCCUUUCUUCUUCUCGCUGUCCUCCAUCCUCCAUUCUGUCCAACUCCUAUCCCAGCCCCUGGGGAGCCUACCUCAGGUCUGAGAGUCUGGGUGUGUGGAUUUCCUUCAGCUACCCGGAUGUCCCCACAGGCAAUCUGAUUUUUUCUCCACAUCUGGACCCCUCCCCCUCUAUCCCUAACCCUGUCUAAACUAAUGGCGCAGUGGUAGCUGCAAGGGCAGGGAUGGGAGUGGCUGAAGCCUACUUCACUCCCAAAGAUUUCUAAGGAAAAUGGUUCUACUGCAUCCUUUGGCUGGGCCUUGUUGACCCGUGACCCUCUUCCAAGAACAUUCACUCUG
rnacentral:lncRNA from 1 species